rnacentral:tRNA from 1 species
AUUUUUCUAGUAUAUAAAGUAUAAUUGACUUCCAAUCAAUAGGGCUGGCUCUUCCAGGAAAAAUA